ACAUGACACACAGCUGCACUCUGCAGUGCAACAUGAAGCCACUGAUGUGAUUUAAAGUUGUUUGCCGCCAUCUUGUGGCCUCAUUGGGUAUUACAUCUAUAAUUCAUACUUCAAAGUGAUAUAAGACGGGUUAAAAGGCCUGAGGUUGUGUGUUCAAACCCUAUGUGGCGCAGGAGGUUUGCUCACGACACGAAAGGCGCCCGUGUCGGGUUCAAGUCCUCCUCGGCACCAGCGGAUGUGCAACCAUAAAUAAAACAGCUGCGUAAACAGAACGAAUAGCAACCUCCAAGUGGGUUUUUACAAACAUAUUUGGUGCAUAACGGUCACAAUAAACAUGUCGGUGUGACAUGAGGGAGCCCAGCGCGCUCGGUGCCGCUCUACAACUCCUUCAGCGACGUCCAUCGCUUCAUAGAAACACUGGGAUCAGCUCUCACUGCCAGCAGCCGAUGAACGAGGAUCCACGACUCAUGUUAGAUAAUAAACCUGUGAUGAUGAUGUUUAGAAAUAUGUCCGUGUCCUUGUUUCAGUAGCUCAUGUAAAGCUCUUUAUUUCAGAUUUAGGACUGUUUGAGUUCACUAACAUCCCAGUACUUCCUCAAAGUGUCUCAGUAUUCAAUAUUCUUCAGCUUGUUGCAUCCUAACUGGAGCGUGUUAGUUCUGGAAUCAAAGUAUGCAGGUUUAUAGUCAACAUGAAGCAGUGAGGAAAGAAAGUCAUCUUUAAUUCAGUGUGUUUUUAAUAAAAUGUUUCAGUCAUUUAGUCCAUCACAGUAACAAAAGUGUCAGGAUUAAGUGAAAAGUGCCACGGUGACGUCAUUUAAACAAACAAGGGUGCUACACUAUGCCGUGUAUAACUGUGAAAUCUUCCCAAAAAAACAAUAAUCCUUAAAUGUUUUCUCCCCUUAAAUCCAGAAGAUCAAAUGUAAAAGAAAGUGCCAACAUUAGUAAACGGGACAUAACAACUUGAGUGAGUUCAGAGAUUUGUACAAAGUGCAACAGGAACAGAUCCCUUUCAGGGCGUUAAACUACUUUAAAGUGUUAAUAUGCACAGCUUUUAUGGUGAGACAAUUUUGUAAACGCAGUCAGACAUAUUUAAAUUUGGUCACAUUUAAAAUUCAAUCAUAUAGAAUUAUACAAUAAUAUAGAAUUAGCACACUUAAUAGUUAGCUUUGUACACAAAUACGUACUUUAGACCAAAUGUGGCCAAACUAACAGGAACCGAUUCAUUUUUAGCAGCAUCAGUGGCGCUUGUUGCCAGAGGGAAAAACACCUGAUUAGUUAAAAAAUGUCAUUUAAAAUAAAUGUAUAAAUACAUACAGUAUUGUAUAGUUGUAUAGUAACUGGCAGCCCUCUUUAGCAGGUUAGUAUAACUAGUACCCCACAGCCAGUGGUUUAUUGCACGAGGGCAGCAGGGAACAACUCCCUCUUGGCACGGACCAAACUCAGAGUGUCGAGCUGUCGGUAAAAUCAGACCCGACAUGCAAACACUCGCACAACCCGUCUUCUCCGAAGAGAUUCUGCAUAGAAUUGAAUAGAUGACAGGUCAGUUGUGGCCCUUUUGGAUAACGUUAAACUAUUCUAUGCAGGAUUUAAGGUUUCAGUUACUUUUUGGUCAAACCCAUUCAAAUGUCCCCGAGGAAAAGGGUCACGUUGAGGUGCAGUGAGUCACCCCAGCCAGCGGGGUUUCCACUGCACUACUGCACCAUUCAUCCACUCAUCAGUAGCAGCCGUCUCUCCAGUUGCUGUCACGCAGGGCACUGAGGGUGGACAAGCUCUUUGGAGGAGUCAGUAAACUGAGGAAAACAAUAAAGGAAUGGUCAAAUCUAAAGUCAGCCUGGUAAGACAGAUAAGGAUAUUUACUCAUUUGACAAUCUUAAUAGGAACGCAAACAAUAACUUAUAUUUAGUCCAGUAGUAAAAGGGUUUACCUUCGUGAUGGUUGGCCCACCUUGCUCCGGGGGGUGGAGCUUUGGGUGCUAACAAAGGAGGCGGGGCGGGGCAGGCUGCUGCGGGGCGUGUUUGUGGUGGAAGCAGGAGUCUUACUGAGCAUAGGGAUGCCUCUGACGCCCCCGUUACUUCCCCCGCCGCCAAUAUUCAGACACUGGAGGCUGGUGAGGGUCGGCACGGAGGCAGAGCCCUUGAUGGUGGGACUGACGUAGGCGGUGGCCUUCAGUGGUUGCCGUGAUAAUGAGGAGAAGUUCCCGACGCUCUGGACCCUGUUCUGCAGCUGGCCUGGGGAGGGGACUGGAGACGGGUGGGGAUAAAAGAUGAAAUUAGAUCCUUUUGCUGCAUGUGUAUUUCACAAUAAAGGUGAAUAAGAAAAACACUUCAACUCACUGGAGGACUGCAGUCGAGCCAGCCCACUGGACGAAUCAAAACUCUGGCUGUUACGAAGCAAACAAGGGGAAGCACUAGGAUUGGUUGGAUUGGGCACACUAGGCAUGCUGGGAGCUCUGACAAGGUUAGGCAUGCUCCUUCGCAGCUUAUCUGACAGAGACAGACAAACAAACGUCUAUGAAUGAAGUUAAACAACGCAGUAGGGCAGAUUGUAAUACAAUAGACCUGAUUACUGUCCUAAAAGCCUUAACAAUAAACCACUAUACUGUAUUGGCUGUCGGUCAUGCCCGUUCCUUUAUUACGUCCCUUAAAACGGCACAUAAAGCUGGCCGUGAUCUCCUUCAUCGUAACAACAGGUUCCAGCCCCCUCAGUCAGAUAUACACUCCUAAUCCUAAUCCCAUCAAACUCUCUCACGCCAGUCUGAGGGCUUAAAGCGGUUGUACAAGAGGCUUAGACAGAGUUAUUAUUAAGUGGUAAGGACAUCAGUGGGGGUGAUUAGAGAGGAAAGGCCGGCUGGAUUGUGAAAAUGAAAGAAAAUUACGAGAACCAACAUUUAAAAAGGUAAUGAAAUAAUAGGUUUAAAUUAGAUGUGUUUAAAGUUGGAUUGAUGUUAACUAAGAAAUUCUAAAUGUUUGUGAGGUUAAGUUCUUUUUGAAUUUAGUGAAAGACGUAGACUUACUCUCAUAUUCGGCUGGAUGCCGUGAUGAAGUUGCCCCCAAUACAAUACGCCAUACACAUGUUUGCAAAUACAGACAUAAAUGUUUCACGUACAAAAGAUAUAAACACAGAUAUCACCGAUUAGUUCCAUUGACAGACAGAUAUUGCAAAGUUAGCAUGUUUCUACUUCACUUUCACAACACCAAAAAUUUAAGUGAGACUCAGAAGAAAUUGAAUUUUGAGAGGAAAGUUUGACCAUUGUUGAUUUUGAUCCGUCUCCUGCAAGUCCCUCAACUUCAUGGACUCGCGAUACUAAAAUACCUGAGUGUAUUAAGUGUAUUUUUGGGUGGCAGUAGUCGGUCUCUUUUUAGCUCGGUGUUGGUCUCCUCCAUCGCCUAAGGAGAAAUAUCUGGCUCUUCCGCUGCCAAAUGCUACAUCAGAUAGUCGCCAAUUGGUUUUGUGACUUUGGUGCAGGGCAGGUGGUGUACAGUAGGUGUAUCAGAUCUUUUCUCACCUGAUCCUGGUCUGAAGCCAUGCUGCUCGACUGCGCAGAGGCUGCCCAGUCCCAGUCCCAGUGGCUGGAGCUGAGGCUGAAAGGCGAACCCAGCGGACGGGUACGGCGGUGUGGAGGGGGUGGAAGGUGGGGUGGACAGGGAACUGGUGCUUCUUCGCCAGUCUCGGAUGCUGGAGAAGGUGUGGGAGUGCGGCAGGCGGGUGAGGCGCGGCUGCGGCGGGGGAAGGAGGCCGUAGUCUUCGUCGUCCUCGUCUUCCUCGUCCAGGUCGGGGCCGGCACUGAGCUGGAAGGUGAAGCUCUGGCUGCGGCGGUUGGCCAGGAUGGACGACGUGCUGGCGUAGUCCUGUCUUAGACCUGGGAGAGCGAGACAUGAGGUACAGCGUGCAACACACACAAGGACAGGACACACACACACACACACACACACAAACACACAAUCAUCACCUUCUGGGGUUAAUGAAGCUGAAGUAGCGAUGAGCUCUGAGAUCUGGUGCCAUAUGUUAAAAUAUUAGAAAGGAGGGAACAGGAGAGACAGAUGGACAGCAGAAGAAGACAGUUGGUACACACAGAAACAACUACAACACACUGAAAUAACAGCAAAUAAAACAUGAAAUCCAUCACCAAAUCACUUCGUGCAACUGAGUUUAUCUUCAACAUAUCCCUAAAUAUACUCCCUCUCUGCCCCCACAGUUUGGAUACCAUUGAAAUGAAAGACCAAUACAACAAUUUGGGGUUUUAAUUAAACAAUUUCUCAUAGCAGGAGCUGUUCUGGGGACAGAAAUGCAGUCAGUAGGCAGAGCCAAACUACUGCACUGCUUCGUGUUGCGUGUCCCUUGAAUCGAAGCCGAGUCAACAACUUACUCUCCUCCUGCAGUCGGGCCAUGACCUGGACGUCGGUGAGGUCUUGCAGUUUGUAUCCCAGAGUGAUGGAGUCGUCCUCCAGCCAUGAAGCACCGAGGUCACCGUCCAUGGAUGACUGGGGACUGAGGGCGGAGCGCCGGAGGCUGUGGCCUUUAAAAACAAGAAUUAAACCAGCAGCUCUAAUGUCAACCAUCCAACAUCGUUGGGAUGAGCCGAGAGCCAGACCCGAUCCACAUCAGUGCUGGACCUCAUCAGUAAACGUGGGAGCUUUUAUGAACUGUCCACUGACCGAUGCAACAAAGAGAGCGGUGCAGCACAAACGCAUUUCGAAAAGACUCCAGACGUUGUUUUGAAAGUGUUGCCUCACACCAGCGCACCCCCGCAGCACCAUCUCCUCUCAUCAGAGGCCUCAGGCUGCCUGUUCAGCCUCCACACACACACACACACACACACACACUCUCUGGAGCCUCCGCAGUGACUCAUCACUCACACCAGGAUCUUCUUCAACAGGCCAACUCCUGGAUCUGGAGCUCAGCAGCCGCACUUCUGCUCCCUCUUCUUCUGUGGUGCAUGAUAUUAUGAAAUGAUGCCUGUGACCAUGUGGACACGUGGGUCAGGUGACCCGGGCCUGAUCUGCUUAAUGCUACAAGAAGUGGACAGAUUAGAGUGUGGAAGGUCUACUGUCCUGCUGAGGCGCAUUAGUCUCAGUGAAGUGAUGAAGGAGGAAAAGUGAUGAAUGUGGAGCUCGAAACACCCGGAGACUGAACUCCAGCUGAACUCCAGAGAGGUUUUCCUGCAUCGUUCAUUAGACGGAGAGAAACUCCUCCACCCUUCGAACACCCCCGCUCUCAGCACACAGCCGUGUGUUGAUGCACAAUAACUUCUAAUUCAACACCCUGUGAGAACAGUCUCUCGCACUGUCGGCUCUUUUGCUGCACAAACAGUGUGGGGGUCUCGUACCUUGUUCCAGGCGGAGGGACAGCGAUCUUCUGGCGGCCUCCACCUCUGAUUUGGGACAGUCCAGAGCCUGCCGGCACCACUGCAGGGGUGUGAGGGAGUCGUCUCGGGACUCUCUGUCUUUUGAUGACACAUACAACCUGGAGAGACACACAGAUUGAAAUGCUUCAAAUAAAAAAGGAGAUAAAGGAGUUUGGAGAAUCAUUGGUGAGCAAGAGUGUGCAGCCAUGCUAUCAGCUGUGAUCUCUUUGAUGCCAACAUGUGGGUGUUCAUGCUUUCCAUGCUAAUCAGCCCUAAACGAGGGCCUUAUCGGCAAGCUCUUUAUAAAAGCAGGGCUGCAUUACUGUGAGCAGAUUAAUCAGCCGCUUAGAUUAUGAGGAAGAGGAGCGGAUCAGAUAUAAACUGGCAGCCCUGAACUCUCUCCUCCACGUUUUUGCUCUGCGGGCAACACGGAGUGAGAUGAAUUAUAGAUUACAACCUUCAGUGGCAUCAGCUGAGACACAAACACACCUCCGCUACUAUUCCUAGACAUGCCUGCAAUGUGAAUAUGCCAAAUAAAGGAUGAAUCAGAAUGUGCUGCAGUGCAGAAUCAGUCCCUCUCUUUACUCUUCA